rnacentral:lncRNA from 1 species
UGUUUGUUGCUACCGAAGGGUGAUGAGUUGUUGUGAUUGUGGAGAGGAGACCCAGCAGAAACAUUUUGGCGAUAGUUAUGGGGAUCGAGAUCAUGUUAGUUCAUGUUGCUUGCUUCCAAUUGAUAUUUAAAAUGGUUGAGAUUCCUCGUGUCUGCCCUCAACCUGUAAUAUAUAUGUUGAGCAGAUGGCAAGGGGACUACAGAAAAUAGCUAAGCAGAGUUGAAAACACAUAUCGCUUUUGCAUAACAAGAAAAUGGCAGCCUCUUACCAUGCUCGAUCAAACAGCUUGCCCUCAAGGCAACACCCCAUCGUUUCACAAAUCGACGAGAACUUGAACCGAUUGAGGGCAUCUCA